rnacentral:lncRNA from 1 species
CCUGAGCCUGUGUGAACAGAAUCCAUCUUGGUCCAUCAGGGUAAGCUGCACCCUGCAGUGAGCCAUCAGAAAUAAUCUGUGUCUUAACCAUUACCUCAUCUGAAAACAUUCAGAAAAUGUUUGGGGGCCUGAGGGAAGAUGAGCACCAUGGUUACUGAAGAUGCACAUACCUGGAGAAGGCACAUUCUUGUGACCGGUUGCCCCAGGUCACAGGCAUCCAGGCCUAAGGCUGCCCCUCCAACCAGGAAGUACCUGUGGAGUGCCAGAGUGGAGCCUGGAUGGCUGUGGAGGAGAAGCCCAGGUGCACACAUUGCCCAGAUGGGCUUCAACUAGAAGGGUAAGCACAUGAAUUAGUCCAGCCCAAGACUUGGUAUCCAGUUUUCCACAUUGCAUGUAGGCUCUGUGUAAUGCUUUCAGUCUCGUUUCCUAACCCACCCCUGCCUUCUCAGUCCUUCAGCAUUUCGUGAUCAUUGCCUCUCCCCAAUCCCCAAGUCCUUCUGCACAGCAGCCCCCAUCUCACAUUCAGUGGCUAGAGCAGGAUGAGCAACCGAGAGACCACAGG